CCCGCCCCGCCCCGCCUCGAGGGCGACGAAGGCCGCUCCCAUUGGCUGAGAAGCCGCGCGCGGGCCGGGAGCGUCCGCCGAGGAGGCCAGCGGACCGUUUCCAUUGGCCAUGGGGACCACCGCGUGACUUGGGGGCGGGGCUGCUCGGCUGCCGCGUGGGGCUGCUCCGGGCGUGGGGCUUGCACAGCCAGAGGUCCUGCCUGUCGCGGGGCCUUCCGGCCUUCUCUCCGCUAUCGCGUGUCAUCCGUGGCCCUUUCGCUCAUUACUCUUACGUUCCUUCGCUCCAUCCGUUCAGUGCUUGCUGGGAGGCUCCUGUGUGCCCGGCCGUGGGCGCUUAUGGAGAUGGAGCGCCCAGUGCAGUGGGGUGUCACUCAUCAGGGCCGGCCGGACAGUGCGUGGUGGUCCGGGCCAUGGCGGCAGUCACGGGCCGUGGGAACAGCGGGCAAGAUCCCUGUCCCUCCGGAGUUAGGGUCCCUGAAGCCUUCUGAAGGAUGUGUAGGAGGCAGCCAGCCUCAAUUAAGAAAGAAGCACGGGGAUAUAGUAGGAGGUAAAAUUGAUAAUUCGUGGUGAUUGGCUGUGGAGAAUGAGGGAGGCUCAGUGGUUCAUUUUUAUUCUGCAAAUAUUGAUCUUUAGUUAUAUGCUGGGUGCGGGUCUGCCCUGGGACAGGAUGGGUGGGGCUGCCAUUCACUGAGAAGAGUGAGGUAGAGGAGAAGUGAGUUGAAGAGAAGGUAAUUUGGUUCUGGCCAUGGUGUUACUGAGCGGUAGCCUCUGCGGCAUCUGAGUGGAAAAGUCUAGCAGGCAGUUGGCCGAACAUGUCUGAAGAUGUAGAUUUGUGAGGCAUCAGCGUUUGAUGGGAGUUGAAGUUUUGAGAGCAGAAGGCCUGUGAGAGAUCUUAGGUGACCUGCAACCUUAGGGGUCAUGGGACAAGGGGGCUGAGAUACAGGUAGACAGCAGGAGUGUGAUGUCUCAGAGGCACGGGCAAGGAGGGAGGGUCAGCUGUGUCAGAGCAACACCUGUGACCUUGUGCAAGCAGCUGUGGCUGGUGGAGGCAGGAGCCUGAUGACAGCAGGGCAAGGAGAUGGGGAAAUCGAGGCAGGGAGCUAGACAUCUGAUUAUGAAGGGGAAGAGAGACGGGGCAGUGGCUGGAGGGGGAUGUGCUCAAGAGAGGCUUAUUUAUGUACUUUUCAGAUGAGAGAGACAGGAGUACUUUCAUUUGUUUAGAUGCUGCUUGAAGUUUCUCGGUCCGGGGAAAGGUCGUCCAUGUAGGAGGACGAGAGCAGGAAACGUGGCUCAAGGCCGCCGAGGAGCUGGAGAGACUGGAUCAGGUUUUGGUCAGAGGAGUGCUGUGCUCCCCAGGGUGGGCCCCGUGGCACUAGGACAGAGAACUGUGGUCAGGGUAGAGGACCCAGCUGAGAUGUGUGGCCAUUGAUCUGGAGGCCCCACUCUCCUAGGCUGUGUGCUUUUCUCCAUCAUGAGAUCUGCACAGAAAAAGGCUGUUCGACUUGUCCAGGGUUGGGGUUAGAAAGACAGUGGUGAUGUUGAGGAGUUGAACAAGAGAGUAACUGAAGAGACGGAGCCCGCAGUUCAAGCAGAGUAGGGAGUGAGUGACGUAAGGCCAGAGGGGGCUGGUAGACUGGGAGAAAUUGGAGAAAUGAAUGGAUUUGAGGCCUUGCUGAGGAAUGAGCGCUAAUGUGAUGGGAGUAACUGGAUGGAUGGGCCGGAAGGUUGGGAGAGUAUGACACGCGGGUACAGGUGUGUGGGUUCCAGAUCUCAGACGUUCUGCCCAUGGGAAGCUGUGGCUGAAAUGGAGUGGAGGGGAAGGUAUUUGGAGAUGAAGUCAAGGGACGGAGAGCCAGGAUGUGGGAUGGAUGGGCCACAGAGGCCACCUUGGAUGGUGGUGGCAGUCGGGUGGAGAGAAGGCUGUGAGCUCAUUGCCAAAGUCUUCGGUAAGUAAGGGGAGUGACCAGGAGGGAGGUGGGCAUGGGUUGAGGUCUGGCUUAAACCUUGGAGAGUGGAGGGGAAAUGGAUGUGGCCUUGGGGAGCAGGGAGGCUGGUGACCCCACCUCCUGACCCUGAGCUAGCGGACUGUGAGAAAAUGAGCAGCCAGUGCUGGGGAGGGCCGUGGGGAAGCCGAGCCCUUAGGGGCAGGGGAGCUAGGUGUCAUCUACUGCAGGAGGUAAGGGCUGAGGGUGUGGAGGGCUUUGUGAACCCCAUAGUAGAGGGGUUUAGGCUCUGGAGAGGAGAGGGGUGUUUACUGGGGAGGAGAAUCAGAGCAGGGUGGAGGGAGAGCACAGCAGGAGAGGCAGUGGAGGUUCCUUCUGGGAUGGUGAACAAGGGAUAAACAUUGUGAGAACACAAAGUUCUGGCAUCCCCAGGGCCUCUAGGGGGUAGGCUGGAGCGCUCCUGCACAGCUGUACUCAGGAGGGGGCCUGGCAAGAGCGCCCCCCCGCCAAGAACGGCUUUCAGGACAUGGAAGACACCUUUUAAGCUGUAGUCCAUGCUGACUGUAACUGCUUGCCACGGGGAGGGAGCGUGGGGCCCCCAGGCUGGGAUUUGCCCAGGGAAUGGCGUUAAGUGUACAGCUGUUAAAGUGACUUCCUCCAAAAGCAUCUCACUCAGUCAAGUUUGUUAUCUGUAGAUAAAGAUUUUCAAGGCCAAGCACUUCUGGAAGGCUCUCCAUCCAACAAAAUCUCUGUCCAGCUGCUGUCUUAUGUUUGAAAUUCCUUUAGUGGGGGAACCAAAGCUUGACAAGGUCAGAUAAGUAGUAGAAGAUAAAUGGCCCUGGGGAGGAGGACAGGGUUAAUCAGCAGAUUCUCACCAAAAGCAAGUGUUGAGUGAAGAAUGACUUAAAAAAAAAUGUUCUGAGCAGCUUCCUUGUCCUUCUGAGUGAGAAGAGGUGAUGUUUAGCACCUUUUGAAAAUUAUUUGUAUUGUGAUGAGACAAACACCACUAGCCCAACAAUGGACCCUGCAGUGGUGGAAACAAUUCUAGCCCGUAACCCCAGCCGAAAAGUGCUCGGAGAAGGCCUGCGCUAGACCUGCCACCUUCCUCUUGGGCAGCAACUAUGCAAGGCUCUUUCCUCUCCUCUCUGCUUUUGUUUCACUCUUCUCUCUCCUUAAAAUGCACUCACCCCCCUCACCCCACCCCUGCCCGCCUACCCAUUCUUAGGUGUUUUAAGUUCCAAAGGCCUGCUGCCCUGACUGCCUCUGCCUGGGGGAUCGUUGCUGUCUCUGAACCUCCGAGGCUUUGCCUCUGACAUGUUCAUUCUCUUCACUCUGAGCAGCACUGAUCUGAGUACAUGUCUACACCAUUUUAGGUGUACGGUUCAGUGGCAUUAAGUACAUACACGUUGUUCUGCAACCAUCACCACUGUCCACCUCCAGAACUUUUUCAUCAUCUCAAACUGAAAUUCUGUACCCAUUAAACAAUAACUCCCCAUCCCCCUCCCUCCUCUCCCCAGUAACCCCUAUACUAUUUUCUGUCUCUUUUCUAGGUACCUCAUAUAAGUAGAAUCAUUCAAUAAUUUUCCUUUUGUGUCUGGCGUAUUUCACUUAGCAUAAGGUCUUCAAGGUUCAUCGAUAGAUCAUGUAUCAGCAUUUCUUUUUUUUAACUAAAGUAUAGUUGAUUAACUAAAGUAAAGUAAUGUUUUGUUUCUGGUGUACAUCAAAGCAAUUCAGUUAUUUAUAUUUUCUUUUUAGAAUUCUUUUUUAUAUAUCCUUUUAAGUAAUAUAUAUAUUUUUCAUAUUCUUUUUCACCAUGGUUUACUACAAGUACUGAAUAUAGUUCCCUGUGCUAUAUAGUAAGACCUUGUCUAUUUUUAUGUAUGUUAGUUUAUAUCUGCUAAUCUCAAACUCCUAAUUUAUCCUUCCUCCCCCUUUCCCCUCUAGUAAUCAUAAGUUUGUUUUCUAUGUCUGUGAGUCUGUUUCUUUUUUGUAGAUAAGUUCAUUUGUAUCUUUUUUUUUUUUUUAGAUUCCACAUAUAAACAAUAUCAUGAUAUUUGUGUUUCUCUGUCUGGCUUACUUCACUUAGUAUAAUAACCUCUAGGUCCAUCCAUUUUGCUGCAAAUGGCAUUAUUUCGUUCUUUUUUAUAGCUGAGUAGUAUUCUAUUGUUUAUAUAUAUAUAUAUAUAAACUUCUAUAUAUAUAUAGACAAUAUAUUCUAUUGUUAUAUAUAUUUAUACACACACAUACAUACACACACACAUCUUCUUUAUCCAUUUAUCUGUUGAUGGACAUUUAGGUUGCUUCCAUGUCUUGACUACUGUAAAUAGUGCUACUAUGAACAUAGGAGUGCAUGUAGAUCUAAUCUCUGGAGACAAGCAGACCAUUGGUUGCCUGGUGCUGAUGGAAAUGGUUGGGAAUGGGACAAGGGAAUAUUCUGGGUGAUGAAAAUAUUCUGUAUCUUGAUUGUGGUGGUUGUUACAUGGGUGUAUAUAUUUUUCAGAAGUCAUAAAGCUAUACCCUUAAAUUAAGUCUUAUUGCAUGUUAUACUAAGCUCAUAAAAAGUCACUUAACAUCAUUAGUCAUUAGAGAAAUACAAAUCAAAACCACAAUGAGAAACCACCCCACAUCUAAGAUAACUAUAAUUUAAAAAGCAGCAACAACAGAAAAUAACAAGAUUAGAGAGAAUUAACAAGUGUUGGGGAGAAUGUGGAGAUACUGGAACCCUGUACCUUGCUGGUGAGAAUGUAACAUGAUGCAGCCACUGUGGAAAAGUUUGGUGGUUCCUCAAAACGUUAAAAUUACCAUAUGACCUGGCAAUUCUACUCCUAGGUCUAUACCUAAAAGAACGGCAAACAGGGAUUCAAACAGAUACUUGUACUGAUACAUAAAUGUCAUAGCAGCAUUAUUCACAACAGCGAAAAGGUAGAAACAAGCCAAGUGUUUAUCAGUAGAUGAAUGGAUAAACGAAAUGUGUUAUAUACAGUUGACCCUUGAACAACAUGGGUUUGAACUGCAUGGGUCCACUUAUACUUAGAUUUUUUUCAAUAAAUACAUACUACUACAUGGUCUGUGGUUGUUAAAUUCAUGGAUGUGAAACCAAGGAUGCAGAAGGCUGACUGUAAACUUUACACAGAUUUUUGGCAUGGAGGGUCAGUGCUUCUCACCCCUGUAUUGUUCAAAGGUCAACUGUACUUACAAUGGAAUAUCAUUCAGCCAUAAAAAGUAAUGAAGUUAUGAUACAUGCUGUAACAUGCAUAAGCUUUAAAAACAUGCUCAGUGGGGCUUCCCAGGUGGCGCAGUGGUUGAGAGUCCGCCUGCUGAUGCAGGGGACACGGGUUCGUGCCCCGGUCUGGGAAGAUCCCACAUGCCGCGGAGCGGCUGGGCCCGUGAGCCAUGGCUGCUGAGCCUGCGCGUCUGGAGCCUGUGCUCCGCAACGGGAGAGGCCACAACAGUGAGAGGCCAGUGUACCGCAAAAAACAAACAAAAAAAACAAACAAAAAAACCAAACAUGCUCAAUGAAAGAAGUUGGAUACAAAAGGACAAAUAUCUAGGAAAGGAGAAUGCUUAGAGACAGAAAGAUUAGUGGUUGCAAGGGGCUAGGAGGAGGGAACUGGAGUGAUUGCAUAAUGGGUACAGAGUUUUGUUUGGCGUGAUGACAAAGUUUUGGAAAUAGUGAUGGUUGCAGAACAUUGUGAAUGUAAUUAAUGCCCCUGAAAUAUACACUUAAAAUGGUUAAAAUGACCAAUUAUCAAAGAACUAAAAAGAAACAAUUUUUAAUUUCAGCAAAAGUUGAAAGCAAAAAAAAUUAAGAUUUUAAUUUUGUAAAGGUAAUGGUUCUCAGAGAUGUAAUUUGAUACUUUUAUCUCUACCUGCCUACCCUACAUUUUCACUGUGACGUCUAAGAGAUGCCUCCACCUCAGCUAUGUCCAAAGCCAUGACUUUCUGCUUCCACUCUGUUCCUCCAGAUUCCUUCCCCCAUAGUUGACCCCUCCUCUGUUUCUCAGGCCCAAACAAUGGCAUCAUUCUUGGCUCCUUCCUUUUUCACAAACUCCAGAUGUGAAUUGAAGAAAAAUAAAGCUGAUUCUAUCUUUGAAAUAUAUCUAGACCUACUCAUAUAUGAGCACUUGCUUUAUUACAGGAUUACUACUGGUGAACAGCGAAGUAGAUUUUCAGUAAAUGGUGCUUCAUCAGCUGACAAUCUAGAUGGAAUGAAAUCAAACAAAAAUCAAUUGCAAGUGAAUUGUGGAUCUAAAUGUGAAAGGCAAGAUAAACUGGAAGAUGACACAGUAGAAUAUCUGAUCUCAGGGUGUGCCAAAAUCUGAGGGCAGGAGACUUCGGUCUGCUGUGUUUAUGAGGUAUCUCCAAUGUAGACGCCCAAUAUUUACAGAAGGAAAACAAAAGAAACUUCAACAUGCUCUUGAGCGAUAUACACACAUACAAGUACUUGGAUCAUUGUGAAGACACACAAUGUUCUUAAAGUACACGGGCCUCUCACUGUUGUGGCCUCUCCCGUUGCGGAGCACAGGCUCCGGAUGCGCAGGCUCAGCGGCCAUGGCUCACGGGCCCAGCCACUCCGCGGCACGUGGGAUCUUCCCUGACUGGGGCACGAACCCGUGUCCCCUGCAUCGGCAGGCGGACUCUCAACCACUGCGCCACCAGGGAAGCCCAGGGACAUCUUCUGAAAGAAGGGUCUUUGUGGAAUGAGUGAAGGAUCUGAGAUGAAGUCAUCCUGGAUGAGGAUGGAGGAAAGUGCUUGGAGCCAUGCCAGUGACAGCACGCAUGCCGAGUUGCAGGCCACAUGGGAUGGUCGGGUGGUCCUGGUCUGGGUGCUCUUCUGGAAGUUUCCAUUUACCUACCUGAGCUACCCCUCCGCUCCUGGACCCCACUGCCUGGGGAGAACUUACAACAGCAGCCGGCACGGAGUUGCUUAGCGACUCCCCCGUGGACACCAUUGACACUGCUGGGAUGAGAUGAGAACCAGGAGAGGCUGCUGGUGUCUGAACCUCUGCCCGGGCCCGUCUAGAGCAACGAGGUCAGUAGGUGGGUGCUGGCUGCUGUGCUGCGUGAGGGAGGCCCCAUGGGUACCUCUUGUUUCUUCUACCUGACACCACGGAGGCACCCCCCCGCCUGGGACAGAGGGUACAGCCUGCCCCAGGCAGGUGGGAAUUCCUGGUGACCCUGUCGGGGACACCAGAGGGACGGAACAGGCAGGAGGGGAGUGGGCGCCCACGCAGAGCCAUGGGGCUCGGGGCCCAGGGGGCCUUUCUGGGUCUGCGUUGGGAGUGGACGAGCAGUGGUGAGUGUGACCCAAGAAAGCUGCCCUGGUGACAUGAGACUGACCCCGCUCAGGGAGACAAGCCUCCCAGGUGACUCCCAAAACAGGAUUGGAAGACAAAUCCUGUUAAAAGAAAGUUUUGUAACAUGAAUCCUGCUGAAGGAGAGGUUUUGCAAAGCUGAUCCCCUAAGAGGAGGCUCCGUGAGCUCUUCCCCUCAGGGGGGGACGUGGAGCCUGCCGGGAACAGGCAGUCCCCCUGGGCGGGCGGCAGGUGCAGAGCCCACUCUGUGGCCCCAUGUCUGUGCUUCUGGGCGGGUAACUUGGCUUCUCGGAGCCUCAGCUUCUCAGUCUGUUCAAAAGGUGAUGGCAGCAUGGAUUGACUAGUAAGUUGCCCAGAACAGAGUAGAAAGGGGUCUUGUGGAAAUUGCACAGAACAUUGUCUUUAGGGGAAUCGCAGGUCCCGUUUCCCACAGGUCUGUCUUCAGGAUCAGGAGAGCGGAUCUAAGCAGAUUUGCAGUAGAGCCUGGGGACGGGCUCGGUUUGGUGGGUCCUCCUGUCUCCUGAAUCAUGGACGGGGAAGCUUCAGCGGGCAGUGGCAGGUUCAUCCCACCUCUGGAAGUGUCUGGACUCCAAGGCCCAGCAGCCGCUGAGCCCUGCGUCUGGGCCCCUCGGAGGCAGGUGGGACAGGCUGGCCUCCUUCCUUCCCAGGACAUGUGAGGUGCAGGCUGUCGUCAGGGAGAAGCAGGGAUGGAGGGGUAUCCUGUGUGGGAAGAGGACAUGGGGCAGCUUGUGUACGUGGAUGUCCACACCAGGAAUGUGGGUCAGUGCAGGGGGACUCGGACACCAGGAGGUGCAGCUGGUGGGCCUGAGUAAGCAGGGCUGGGGGUCCCGUGGAGGCGGUGGGUCGAGCUUCACCCGUGCUGGGCCUUGGACUCCCCGGCCUUCCUUGUCCUGGUCACUGGGGAGGAGGGGCUGAGCGGUGCUGGUGGAGUGACCACCAGGCCUUGCCAGUGUUGGCGCCUCCGGCUGUUGUCAGGGAGCCUGUGGGGUGUGGGUUUUGCCGUGCCCGCCAGGGAGGAGGUCUGGAGGGCUCCGGCAGGAGGCACUGGUGUGGCCAGCACCUGUGCAGAAGCUUCCAAGCCAGUGUCCAGAGAGAACCCCUGCCUGUGGAUUUCAAGUCCACAUACACAGAUCAGCUUCUAGUGGGCUCGGAUUAUUUUCUAGACACAAAGUCCUAACACCCUGUGUGUCCACGGCACAUGGAAAGGCACAUCUGAUGUGGUUCCAGGUGCUGCCUCUGGACCCCCUCCUGCCUGGACGCCGCGCAGCCAGUGUCACCAUGUCGUGACUGUGUGUCAGGCGGGGGGCAGGGGGGAGAGCAAAUGGUCCAGGCCCACGAGGGGCCGUGCCAUCCACGGAGCCAGUGCUGUGGCUGUAGGUGUGCCCUCCGCUCACCCCACUGGCAGAGGCUACUAUCCCCUUACAGAUGGGGAGGCAGUCGGUGUGGCACCUGAGGUCGGGGCCUGUGGCUGGCAGGCGGUGGCGGUCAGCAGGGGGUACGCACGAGGUCAGGGAAGGCUCUCAGUGUGUUUACAGAGAAGAUGUGAACGUGGGUGCAGGUGCAGAGCUGCCUGCAGAUACUGCUGUGAACGCCCCUGAAUUCUUUCCUGAGAAUAUUGGCGGAGGGGCAUUCAGACAACAGGGCAAACAGCUUGUUCUGGUGGCUGUUGUUGGGGAAGUGGGGCAUAGACAGGGGCUCAGCCCGCAAAACCCUAGAACCGCCCCCAGAAUGGCAGGAAGUGGUUCUUCCACCUACUAGACAUGGAGGGAAGGAGUGAGGUCUGCGGGGCCACCUUCACUUUCGGGGACUUGGUGGGAGGCUCGUAUGCUCAAGGCUAAGACGGGUCACAGCACACAGUAGGGGUGCAUGGCGGGAUCCCUGUGCUGGCUUCCUCAUGCCCCCUCCUUCACUCGAGGGUCUUGAGAGUAUCUCUUCCCCCAGUGAGGAAGGGUAAAACCAUGACAUUUUCCCCCAGGGAAGCUCAUUAGGGACUUGGCCCCCAGCUGGGGCUGGUCACCUGGCAUCGUCUGCCCUCAGCCUCCAAAAUGCCAGUGCCCAGAAGGGGAACCAGUGUUCAGCAUGAAACACAUGGUUUGUGCAAACGGCGUAGGUGCAGGGGCCGCCCCUAACGGGAGGGAGGUUUAGAUAAAAGCAGGGAGCCGUUCCCCAGCUGUGGUAGCUUCCUGGGGCGGCCAUGACAAAUGACCACAAAUGGAGCCUCAGAACAGCAAAAACCGAUCCUCUCUGUUCUGGAGACCAGAAGUCUGAGAUCAAGGCGGCUCAGGGCUGAGCUCCCUCCCGAGGCCCCAGGGGAGGAGGCUUCCUGGCUUUUCCAGCCUUUGGAGGUUCCAGGCGUCCCUGGGCUCGUGGCCACAUCCGUCUCCAUCUUCACGAGGCUUGUCCUGUGUCUGUCCUCUUCUGUCUCUUCUAAGGACACCUGUCACUGGAUUCAGGGCCACGCUCAUCCGGGAUAAACUCAUCUCCAGAUCCGUAAAUAGCGUCUUUAGAUCCUAUUUCCAAACAAGGUCCCAUUCCCAGGUUCUGGGGGGCCAGGAUGUGGACAUAACUUUUGGAGGGGGCCCAUUCAACCCAUACCGCAGCCCAAUUCCCAGACGCUGACCAAGGGCCAUCCAUGCCUACUGACCUUCCUCAGGACAGCAGUCAGGUUAGCGAUGUUCUGUCUUUCUGCACAGAGGCAUCUUUUGUUUCAUGCACUUGAUGGGGGGAAAUGCUGCUGGCUGACCUCCCAGUCUUUCCAGGGACCAUGCCGAGCUAUCCUCCCUGGGAGUGUGGGAGCACGGCCAGGGCACCCUGUAUAUGCUCUGUGCUUACCGCUCAGUGGUCAUACACCUGCUUGGGGCUGGGCACCCUCAAUAGGCUAGACUGGCCCCUGGACCACUGCACUUUCUACCACAUCAAUAGGUGCACUAUGUGCGGGCCUACGACCAUGAUGUGUGGACAGGCACUCAUGCCUGCCGCAUGGCCUCCAGCCCACCAUGGACCCUCCAGUCCUGCUGUGGACACCACCAUCCAGUCAUGGACUCCCGCUCCUGCUGUGGACACCCCCAUCCCAUUAACCCCCAAGAGACCUGCUGAAUAGGGGUGAGAACUCCACUGAGAAGAAGAGACCAGGGAUGUGCAUGUGCCUUUGAGGAAAUCAUUGCUCAGAAGACCCCAGCAUCUAUCAGCAGUCUUCUCCGUGAUCUCUUGACCUUUGCUCUUCCUCUUUUCAUCUGAUAUCUUGCCAGAUCGUUCAUGGAGAAAUUAGGUCCUAUCUGGCAACAGCAGAAUCGUCUUCCCAACACAUGAGAAAAGAACAGGCAUGGGCCCGCACCCAUCUUAUCCUUCCCUGCCUGCCCGGCCCCAUCAGGUCAGGAAGAUGUGUCCCUCCUCCUGUCAGAAGCCAAAUCCCAGAUAAAGAACUUAGAUGUAAAGGAAACCAGAAUAUUGUUUUGAGCUAUGGACGCAUAAAAAAAAAACCAACAACAGCAAAAACAAAUGAUCAAAUUUCCCAAAAUAUGGAUGUUACAGAAAAACCCGAACGAACUUUUGGGCCAACCCAAUAGGUGCAAAGAAGGGCGCGGGGACCUUUCUGCUCUUUCUUCCCCGAAGCAGGAGAGAACAUAUCCUCCCCCUCAACCCCCACUCCUGCCGCCAUGGAAGACUUCCUCCCUCUGCUGGAAGGAGAGUGACAUUGUUACCGUCAAGGGAAGAAAGUGGAGAAUGAGAGAAUUCUGUACAAAUGGAGUUUGUUAAACGUAAUUCUCAUACUCCUUCACUUCCCCACACAGUGUACUUCCUUUUCCACCAUCGCCUCUCUUUGUUCAACACAAUAGAAAAGCAUUUAGGUUUUGCCACUUCUCUGGGUCUUUCUUCAUUUCUGUAGUGGGGCACCCUGUGUCUUGUAAAUCUUAUGGGAAAUAAAUGUGUAUGCUUCUCUCCUGUGAAUCUGUCUCCAUUUAAUUCUCAGGACCAGCUGUCAACUCUAAGAGGGUGGAGGUGUGGUUUGUCUCGGUGACAUUUUUCUCGUCAGCAUCUUUGAAUUCUGCCUCCUUGGCUUGAUUCUUCAGUGUGCUGACAUGCUCUCAGCUACCAUCUUCAGAAACUGUGAGAAUGAAACACAUUCUUUUUUUUAAUUUUAUUUUUUAAAUGUAUUAUUUAUUUUUGGCUGUGUUGGGUCUUCGCUGCUGCGCGCGGGCUUUUCUCUAGUUGCGGCGAGCGGGGGCUACUCUUCGUUGCGGUGCGCGGGCCUCUCACUGCGGUGGCUUCUCUUGUUGCGGAGCACGGGCUGUAGGCGUGUGGGCCUCAGUAGUUGUGGCACACGGGCUCAGCAGCUGUGGCUCACAGGCUCUAGCGCGCAGGCUCAGUAGUUGUGGCGCACGGGCUUAGUUGCUCUGCAGCAUGUGGGAUCUUCCUGGACCAGGGCUCGAACCCAUGUCCCCUGCGUUGGCAGGCAGAUUCGUAACCACUGCACCACCAGGGAAGCCCAUGAAACACAUUCUUACCCUAUGAUCCAGCCCUCAGAAUUUUUGGUAUCAGUGGACCCAAAUGAGUCGAUUGCUUACAUCUACUCAGAAACCUGCACCAGGAUGUUUAGGGCAGCUUUAUUCAGAACUGCCAGAACUUGGAAGCAACCAAGAUGUCCUUUAGGAGGUGAAUGGACACAUAGACUGGGCUACAUCCGUGCAACAGAAUGUUCUUCAGCACUGAAAAGACAAGAGAGAGAUAUGGAGCCAUGGAGAGACAGAUGGGGCACCUGAAAUGCAUAUUACUCACGGAAAGAAGCCAAUCUGGAAAGCUGGCAUAACUUAGGGUACCAACUACAUAUGAUAUUUGGGAAAAGGCAAACCAUGGAAAGGGUGAGAAGACCAUUGCAGCGCCAGGAGUUUGUGGCGGGGUUGAGGGGUGAGGGCUGAUAAAUAGGUCGAACACAGAGGCUUUUUAAGGCGGUGAAGCUAUUCAGUGCGAUACAUUCAUUCAUGGUGAAAUACAUUUGUCAAAACCCAUAGAAUGUACCACACCAGGAGUGAAUCCUAAUAUAAACUCUGGACCCCGGUGAAGGUGUCCAUGUAGAUUCAUUGAUAGUGACUGACACACACAAUGUCGUCGGAUAGUCAGGGAGCGGGGGUCUCUGAGCACCUGUGGGGAUGGGGACGGGGAGCAGCAACAGCAGAGCAGGGUAUAUGUGGGACCUCUCUGUACUCUGCCCAAUUCUGCCAUGAACUCAAAACUUCUUUAAAAAAAUAAAGUCUAUUUAAACAAAGAAACAAACAUUCGAGUAGUAUCACAAGGCUGCUCGUCUUCAGUCCUCAAUUUUUUUUUUUUUUUUUUGGUACACGGGCCUCUCACUGUUGUGGCCUCUCCCGUUGUGGAGCACAGGCUCCAGACGCUUAGGCUCAGUGGCCAUGGCUCACGGGCCCAGCCGCUCCGCGGCAUGUGGGAUCCUCCCGGACCGGGGCACGAACCCGCGUCCCCUGCAUCGGCAGGCAGACUCUCAACCACUGAGCCACCAGGGAAACCCAGUCCUCAAUUUGUCUGGGCCACUUGAGAGUGGAACUUCAGCAGACAUUGUCCUUUCAACCCGCAUCAUUUCAGAGUUUCAUCUGACAUCUGCUUUUUAUCUCACUACAAUCUUUUUUAAGAUAAUAUGUCUUCUUUUUUUUUAAAUUGACGUAUAAUUGGUGGGCAAUAUUAUAUUAGUUUUCUGUUAUAACACAUAGUGAUUUGAUAGUUUUAUACAUCACAAAAUGAUCACCAAGAUAAGUCCAGUUACACGUCACCAUACAAUGUUGUUACAGUAUUAUGGACUCUAUUCCCUAUGCUGCAUGUUACAUCCCCAUGACAUUUGUUUUAUAACUGGAAGUUUGUACCCCUUAAUCUUUCUCACAUACUGCGCUCAUGCCCCCAGCCACCUCCCCUCUGGCAACCACCAGCAUGUUCUUGGGAUCUGUGAGUCCAUUUCUGUUUUGUUGUGCUUGUUCUUUUGUUUUGUAUUCUACAUAGAAGUGACCAUCAUAAGUUAUCUCUCUCUGUGUGACAUAUCUCAGCAUAAUACCCUCUAGGUCCAUUCAUGUUGUCAUAAGAUUUCAUUCUCUUUUAUUGGCUGAGUCAUAUUCCACUGGGUGUGUGUAAAUAUGUACAUGAAAUCUUUCUUCUCCAUUUGCCAACUGAUGGAUACUUUGGUGGCUUCCAUAUCUUGGCUAUUGUCAGUACAGCUGCCAUGAACAUAGGGGUGUGUAUAUCUUUUUGAAUUUGUGUUCUUGUUUCCUUCAGAAAGAUACCCCCAAGUGUAAUUCCUGCAUCAUAUGAUAGUUCUAUUUUUAAUUUCUUGAGGAGCCGCCAUAAUGUUUUCCAUAGUGGCUGUACUAAUGCACAUUCCCAACACAAGUGUCUGAGGGUUCCCUUUUCUCCACAUCCUCGCCAACUUUUUUUUUUUAAAUUAAUUAAUUAAUUUAUGGCUGUGUUGGGUCUUCGUUUCCGUGUGAGGGCUUUCUCUAGUUGCGGCAAGUGGGGGCCACUCUUCAUUGCGGUGUGCGGGCCUCACGCUAUCGCGGCCUCUCUUGUUGCAGAGCACAGGCUCCAGACGCGCAGGCUCAGUAAUUGUGGCUCACGGGCCUAGUUGCUCCGCAGCAUGUGGGAUCUUCCCAGACCAGGGCUCGAACCCGUGUCCCCUGCAUUGGCAGGCAGAUUCUCAACCACUGCGCCACCGGGGAAGCCCCCUCACCAACUUCUUAUUGGUUGCCUUUUGGAUGAUAACCAUUUUUUCAGGUGUGAGGUGGUAAUUUCAUUGUUGUUUUGGUAUGCAUUUCCCUGAUGAUAAGUGAUGUUGACUAUGUAGUCAUGUAUGUGUUGACCAUCUGUAUAUAUUCUUUGGGAAAAUGUUCGAUCUUCUGCCAAUUUUUUAUUUGGGUUUUAGUCUUUUAGAGGUUGCAUUGCAUGAAUUCUUCGUCCGUUUUGGAUAUAAACCCCUUUCCCGAUAUAUUGUUUGCAAAUAUUUUCUCACGUUCAGUAGGCUGCCUUUUCAUUUUGUGGAUAAUUUCUUUGCUGUUGAAAAGCUUUUCUUUUAGGUGGGAUCCCAUUCGUUUAUUUUGCUUUUGUUUCCCUUGCUUGAGGAUACUGAUCCAAAAAAUAUUGCUCAGACUGAUGUCAAAGAACACACUGCCUAUGUUUUCUUCUAGGAGUUUUAUAGCUUCAGGUCUUACGUUGAAGUAUUUGAUUCAUUUUGAGGUUAUUUUUGUAGAUGGUAUGAGAAAGUGUUCCAAAUAGAUUCCUGUGCAUGUUGCAGUCCAGUUUUCCCAACAAGAUUUAUUGAAGAGGUUAUCUUUUCCCCAUUGUAUAUCUCACCUCCUUUUUCAUAGAUGAGUUCACCAUACAUAAUGGGUUUGUUUCUGGGCUCUCAGUUCUGUUCCAUGGAUCUGUGUGUAUUUCUUUUGUGCCAAUACCAUACUGUCUUGAUGUUUCCAGGUUUGUAGUAUAGUUCGAAAUCAGGGAACAUGAUAUGUCCACGUUUGUGCUUCUUUCUUAAGAUUGUAUUGACUAUUCAGGUUCUUUUGUGUUUCCACACACAUUUUAGAAUUCUUUUUUCUAGUUCUCCAAAUAAUCCCAUUGGCAUUUUGAUAGGAAUGGCAUUGAAUCUCUAGAUUGCUUUGGGGUGUGGAAUCAUUUUAACAAUACGAAUUCUUCCAAUCCAUGAGCAUGGCAUGUCUCUCCAUUUGUUUGUGUCCUCUUCAAUUUCUUUCAACAGAGUUCCAGUUCUCCGAGUACAAGUCUUUUACCUCCUGGGUUAGAUGUAUCCCUGGGUAUUUUAUUUUUGUUAAUGUCAGUGUCGAUGGAGUUCUUUUCUUAAUUUAUCGUUCUGAUAGUUGUGAGUGUAUAGAAAUGCAACUGAUUUCUUUAGAUUAAUUUUGUAUCUUGCAACUUAACUGAAUUUUCUGAUGAGUUCCAUUUGUUUUUGGGUGUCAUCCUCAGGAUUUUCUCUAUAGAGUGUCAUGUCAUCUACAGACAGUGACAGUUUUAAACUUUUUCCUCUGCCAUUGAAUUCAUUUUACUUUU